GUUCGGGAGACCUCGAUAAAUUACACAGAAGCAUUUAAUGAACACUCAAUUGAAUCCGAAGAUAGCCAUACAGUU